rnacentral:sRNA from 1 species
UCGGUACAAGAGUGCGACAGCGUAUUGC